GGCGUGCUUAACACAUGCAAGUCGAACGGGCCUUCGGGCUAGUGGCGGACGGGUGAGUAACGCGUGGGAAUCUGCCCUCAGGAGGGGGAUAACGACCGGAAACGGUCGCUAAUACCCCAUAUGCCGAGAGGUGAAAUGAAUUUCGCCUGAGGAUGAGCCCGCGUCUGAUUAGCUUGUUGGUGAGGUAAUGGCUCACCAAGGCGACGACGGGUAGCCGGCCUGAGAGGGUGACCGGCCACACUGGGACUGAGACACGGCCCAGACUCCUACGGGAGGCAGCAGUGGGGAAUAUUGCACAAUGGGCGAAAGCCUGAUGCAGCGACGCCGCGUGAGGGAUGACGGCCUUCGGGUUGUAAACCUCUUUCAGUAGGGAAGAAGCGAAAGUGACGGUACCUGCAGAAGAAGCGCCGGCUAACUACGUGCCAGCAGCCGCGGUAAUACGUAGGGCGCAAGCGUUAUCCGGAAUUAUUGGGCGUAAAGAGCUCGUAGGCGGUUUGUCGCGUCUGCCGUGAAAGUCCGGGGCUCAACUCCGGAUCUGCGGUGGGUACGGGCAGACUAGAGUGAUGUAGGGGAGACUGGAAUUCCUGGUGUAGCGGUGAAAUGCGCAGAUAUCAGGAGGAACACCGAUGGCGAAGGCAGGUCUCUGGGCAUUAACUGACGCUGAGGAGCGAAAGCAUGGGGAGCGAACAGGAUUAGAUACCCUGGUAGUCCAUGCCGUAAACGUUGGGCACUAGGUGUGGGGGACAUUCCACGUUUUCCGCGCCGUAGCUAACGCAUUAAGUGCCCCGCCUGGGGAGUACGGCCGCAAGGCUAAAACUCAAAGGAAUUGACGGGGGCCCGCACAAGCGGCGGAGCAUGCGGAUUAAUUCGAUGCAACGCGAAGAACCUUACCAAGGCUUGACAUGGACCGGACCGCCGCAGAAAUGUGGUUUCUCCUUUUGGGGCUGGAUCAGUGACAGGUGGUGCAUGGCUGUCGUCAGCUCGUGUCGUGAGAUGUUGGGUUAAGUCCCGCAACGAGCGCAACCCACGUUUUUAGUUGCCAGCAUUUAGUUGGGCACUCUAGAGAAACCGCCGGUGAUAAACCGGAGGAAGGUGUGGAUGACGUCAAGUCAUCAUGCCCCUUACAUCCUGGGCUACACACGUACUACAAUGCUACGGACAAAGGGCAGCAAACUCGCAAGAGCUAGCAAAUCCCAUAAACCGUGGCUCAGUUCAGAUCGUAGGCUGCAACUCGCCUACGUGAAGGAGGAAUCGCUAGUAAUCGCAGGUCAGCAUACUGCGGUGAAUACGUUCCCGGGCCUUGUACACACCGCCCGUCACACCAUGGAAGUUGGCCAUGCCCGAAGUCGUUACUUCAACCCUUGUGGAGGAGGACGCCGAAGGUGGGGCUGAUGACUGGGGUGAAGUCGUAACAAGGUAGCCGUACCGGAAGGUGCGGCUGGAUCACCUCCUAA
rnacentral:rRNA from 1 species